UACGUAGGGUGCGAGCGUUAAUCGGAAUUACUGGGCGUAAAGCGUGCGCAGGCGGUUUGUUAAGUCUGAUGUGAAAGCCCCGGGCUCAACCUGGGAACUGCAUUGGAAACUGGCAAGCUCGAGUAUGGCAGAGGGGGGUGGAAUUCCGCGUGUAGCAGUGAAAUGCGUAGAGAUGCGGAGGAACACCGAUGGCGAAGGCAGCCCCCUGGGCCAAUACUGACGCUGAGGCGCGAAGGCGUGGGGAGCGAACGGG
rnacentral:rRNA from 1 species